rnacentral:lncRNA from 1 species
GGGGCUGGUCAAGUCAUUUAAAAAGGGAGUUAUAACCCCGAUAAAAGGAUGAGUCCGCCGGCAUGUGUUCGAAUUUAAAAGCAUUGAUUGUCAUAUAAAAAGGGAGGACCAACCCUCGGAACCCACUGGAUCCGCCACUGCCUAUCCACUAGACUAUAUAUGAGAACAAACUAUGCAUAUAUUUCAAAUUAUUAUAGCGUUAGUUGUACUCUGCAAUUGAAAACAAAUGUUUUGUAAACAUGUAAAGCUUCUACUGCAAUUCAAUUUUUGUC